UCAUAUGCUUGUCUCAAAGAUUAAGCCAUGCAUGUCUAAGUACACACCUUUAUACGGUGAGACUGCGAAAGGCUCAUUAAAUCAGCUAUUGUUUCUUAGAUCAUUGAACAUUACAUGGAUAACUGUGGUAAUUCUAGAGCUAAUACAUGAAACAAAGCCUUGACUCACGGUUAAGGCGCAUUUAUUAGAUUAAAACCAACCGAGCUUGCUCGUACGUUUGGUGACUCUGGAUAACUUUGUGCAGAUCGCAGGACCUUGCGUCGGCGACGUAUCUUUCAAAUGUCUGACCUAUCAACUGUCGAUGGUAGGUGAUAUGCCUACCAUGGUGAUAACGGGUAACGGGGAAUCAGGGUUCGAUUCCGGAGAGGGAGCCUGAGAAACGGCUACCACAUCUAAGGAAGGCAGCAGGCGCGCAAAUUACCCAAUCCGACACGGGGAGGUAGUGACGAAAAAUAACGAUGCGGGACUUUUAUGAGGCCCCGUAAUUGGAAUGAGUACACUUUAAAUCCUUAAGCAAGGAUCAAUUGGAGGGCAAGUCUGGUGCCAGCAGCCGCGGUAAUUCCAGCUUCAAUAGCGUAUAUUAAAGUUGUUGCAGUUAAAAAGCUCGUAGUUGGAUCUCAGGAGUCGAGUGAACGGUUCGCUUAUCCGAGUGUUACCAUUCUCUCUUCCUAUCUAGUCGGAGUCCGUUUUGGUGCUCUUUAUUGAGCGCCUUGAUAGCCCGACAUGUUUACUUUGAACAAAUUAGAGUGCUUAAAGCAAGCCUUGUGCUUGUAUAGUCGUGCAUGGAAUAAUAGAAUAGGACUUUAGUUCUAUUUUGUUGGUUUACGGAAUCUAAAGUAAUGAUUAAAAGGGACAGGCGGGGGCAUUCGUAUUGUGGCGGGAGAGGUGAAAUUCGGAGAUCGCCGCAAGACGACCUACUGCGAAAGCAUUUGCCAAGUAUGUUUUCGUUAAUCAAGAACGAAAGUCAGAGGUUCGAAGACGAUUAGAUACCGUCCUAGUUCUGACCAUAAACGAUNNCVVNNGGUCAUCCGAGGCCGAUUGCUUGUUCGAUCUCUCGGGCGACUCCGGGAAACCAAAGUCUAUGGGUUCCGGGGGAAGUAUGGUUGCAAAGCCGAAACUUAAAGGAAUUGACGGAAGGGCASCACCAGGAGUGGMSUGCGGCUUAAUUUGACUCAACACGGGAAAUCUCACCCGGUCCGGACACUGUGAGGAUUGACAGAUUGAUAGCUCUUUCUUGAUUCAGUGGGUGGUGGUGCAUGGCCGUUCUUAGUUGGUGGAGCGAUUUGUCUGGUUAAUUCCGAUAACGAACGAGACUCUAGCCUGCUAAAUAGUACACUGGUCAAACAUGCCGGUGCAUACUUCUUAGAGUACAAUGACAAGAUCAACUAGUAUUUCCUGACUCGAAAGGGUCGGGUAACCUGGUAAAUUCUUAUCAUGACAGGGAUUGGGCUUUGCAAUUAUCGCCCAUGAACGAGGAAUUCCCAGUAAGCACAAGUCAUAAGCUUGUGCUGAUUACGUCCCUGCCCUUUGUACACACCGCCCGUCGCUACUACUGAUUGAAUGGUUUAGUGAGGUCCUCGGAUUGGCUUCCGGUUAGUGGAAACGCNGAUCGGAUUAUCGAGAAGAAGAUCAAACUUGAUCAUUUAGAAGAAGUAAAAGUCGUAACAAGGUUUCCGUAGUGAACC
rnacentral:rRNA from 1 species